rnacentral:rRNA from 1 species
GACAGAGGGUGCAAACGUUGUUCGGAAUUACUGGGCGUAAAGCGCGUGUAGGCGGCAGCGUGUGUCGGGCGUGAAAUCCCAUGGCUCAACCAUGGAAGUGCACCCGAAACUGCGCAGCUAGAGUCCUGGAGAGGAAGGUGGAAUACUUGGUGUAGAGGUGAAAUUCGUAGAUAUUCGUAAGAACACCAGUGGCGAAGGCGACUUUCUGGCUCGAUACUGACGCUAAGGCGCGAAAGCGUGGGGAGCAAACAGG